UGAACGCUGGCGGCGUGCCUAACACAUGCAAGUCGACGAAACUGAUUCCAUGAAACUUCGGUAGAUUGGAUGAAAGUUGAGUGGCGGACGGGUGAGUAACACGUGGGCAACCUGCCUCACAGAGGGGGAUAGCAGUUGGAAACGACUGAUAAUACCGCAUAAGCACACAGUACCGCAUGGUACAGGGUGAAAAGAUUUAUCACUGUGAGAUGGACCCGCGUCUGAUUAGCCAGUUGGCAGGGUAACGGCCUACCAAAGCGACGAUCAGUAGCCGACCUGAGAGGGUGACCGGCCACAUUGGGACUGAGACACGGCCCAAACUCCUACGGGAGGCAGCAGUGGGGAUAUUGCACAAUGGAGGAAACUCUGAUGCAGCGACGCCGCGUGAGUGAAGAAGUAUUUCGGUAUGUAAAGCUCUAUCAGCAGGGAAGAUAAUGACAGUACCUGACCAAGAAGCCCGGCUAACUACGUGCC
rnacentral:rRNA from 1 species